UGGGGAAUAUUGCACAAUGGGCGCAAGCCUGAUGCAGCCAUGCCGCGUGUGUGAAGAAGGCCUUCGGGUUGUAAAGCACUUUCAGCGAGGAGGAAGGUGGUGGACUUAAUACGUUCAUCAAUUGACGUUACUCGCAGAAGAAGCACCGGCUAACUCCGUGCCAGCAGCCGCGGUAAUACGGAGGGUGCAAGCGUUAAUCGGAAUUACUGGGCGUAAAGCGCACGCAGGCGGUUUGUUAAGUCAGAUGUGAAAUCCCCGGGCUCAACCUGGGAACUGCAUUUGAAACUGGCAAGCUAGAGUCUCGUAGAGGGGGGUAGAAUUCCAGGUGUAGCGGUGAAAUGCGUAGAGAUCUGGAGGAAUACCGGUGGCGAAGGCGGCCCCCUGGACGAAGACUGACGCUCAGGUGCGAAAGCGUGGGGAGCAAACAGAUUAGAUACCCUGGUAGUCACGCUGUAAACGAUGUCGAUUUUGGAGGUUGUGCCCCUUGAGGCGUGGCUUCCGGAGCUAACGCGUUAAAUCGACCGCCUGGGGAGUACGGCCGCAAGGUUAAAACUCAAA
rnacentral:rRNA from 1 species